UAACUUUUAGUGUAUGGCACGUUAAAUUUUGAUUUUAAAGGAAAUGAUUCAAGUCAUUGAAGUUAA
rnacentral:tRNA from 1 species